rnacentral:rRNA from 1 species
UGAGGGAUUUUCCGCAAUGGACGAAAGUCUGACGGAGCAAUGCCGCGUGCAGGAUGACGGCCUUCGGGUUGUAAACUGCUUUUGUACAGAAAGAUUAUGACGGUACUGUAAGAAUAAGGCGCUGCUAACUACGUGCCAGCAGCAGCGGUAAUACGUAGGCGCCGAGCGUUAUUCGGAUUUACUGGGCGUAAAGGGUCCGCAGGCGGACCAAUAAGUCUGACGUUAAAGACUCCGGCUCAACCGGAGUAAGGUGUCAGAUACUGUUGGUCUUGAGGCCGGUAGAGGUUAUCGGAACUUAUCGAGUAGGGGUAAUAUCCGUUGAUACGAUAAGGAACGCCAAAGGCGAAGGCAGAUAACUGGGCCGGUCCUGACGCUCAUGGACGAAAGCGUGGGGAGCGAACGGG